UUUGACAAAAUGAACAGUCUGUUGGAAAAUAUUAGAUACGUGUUUACUACAUUAAAUGCGGCGACAGUAUUAUAUACUGGUUCCAAUGUUGCAUUUGGGUAAAGGGUGAAAGAAAGUGUAGAAACAACAUGUUUCUUAUAAGUAUAACAAAGGAGGACAACAUGAUGCACUCCCCAGCGAGUCACCAUUAACUUCUCCACUGAGAAUAUAGACAACAUUGGUCUAGAAAAACACCAAGUGAAACAACAACGUUAA